GACGAACGCUGGCGGCGUGCCUAAUACAUGCAAGUUGAGCGCUGAAGGUUGGUACUUGUACCAACUGGAUGAGCAGCGCACGGGUGAGUAACGCGUGGGGAAUCUGCCUUUGAGCGGGGGACAACAUUUGGAAACGAAUGCUAAUACCGCAUAAAAACUUUAAACACAAGUUUUAAGUUUGAAAGAUGCAAUUGCAUCACUCAAAGAUGAUCCCGCGUUGUAUUAGCUAGUUGGUGAGGUAAAGGCUCACCAAGGCGAGGAUACAUAGCCGACCUGAGAGGGUGAUCGGCCACAUUGGGACUGAGACACGGCCCAAACGCCUACGGGAGGCAGCAGUAGGGAAUCUUCGGCAAUGGACGAAAGUCUGACCGAGCAACGCCGCGUGAGUGAAGAAGGUUUUCGGAUCGUAAAACUCUGUUGGUAGAGAAGAACGUGGGUGAGAGUGGAAAGCUCAUCAAGUGACGGUAACUACCCAGAAAGGGACGGCUAACUACGUG
rnacentral:rRNA from 1 species